rnacentral:rRNA from 1 species
AGGACGAACGCUGGCGGCGUGCUUAACACAUGCAAGUCGAACGAGGAUCAUGGAGAGCUUGCUUGAAAUGAUUCGAGUGGCGGACGGGUGAGUAACGCGUGAACAAUCUGUCUCAUACAGGGGGAUAACGCAUCGAAAGAUGUGCUAAUACCGCAUAGGACCACGGGUUCGCAUGGAACUGAGGUGAAAGGAGCAAUCCGGUAUGAGGUGAGUUCGCGUCUGAUUAGAUAGUUGGUGAGGUAACGGCCCACCAAGUCAACGAUCAGUAGCCGACCUGAGAGGGUGAUCGGCCACAUUGGGACUGAGACACGGCCCAGACUCCUACGGGAGGCAGCAGUGGGGAAUAUUGGGCAAUGGGCGAAAGCCUGAACCCCCAGCAACGCCGCGUGAAGGAAGAAGGUUUUCGGAUCGUAAACUUCUGUCCUAUGUGAAGAGAGAGAGACGGUAGCAUAGGAGGAAGCCCCGGCUAACUACGUGCCAGCCGCGGC